CUAGGGGUAAGCAACUAUAAAACACAAAUGUCCUUUCAAAAUAAAGCAAAUAAUAAUAAAAAUAGUAUUUGAUGAAAAGAUUACGCAAAUUAACUGACUGUCGGGAAUGGGUCGCAGAGGAGCAUGGCCGUAACUACCAUUGAGGACACCGAGGUCAUGUCCUCGGUAUUUUUUUCAGAAAUUUGAAAUUGGUCUACGCUGAAUUCGAGCAGUGAUCAAUGUAAAAUGCAGCGUCCACAUCCACAUGUCAUCUGUAUUUCCCCCCAAUAAAAUUCACAUUUGUCUAAUGUCAUCUGAAAUCUCUCAGCCUCUAUCUCUAUCGUUGCCGUGUCUAACGCAGCGCCACGCGACGUAGCCUAUGGACCCUUUUCACGUGACGUCACGACAAACGCGGCCGCCAUUUUGGACAUGUACUACCAGUAGUUUACCACAGCCAACAUUGAGGAAUGGCAGCAAAGAAAGUGUUUAUUUUCAGCAAGACUUCCAUCAUGCCACUAUAUUGUUGUGCACCUGGAUGUAGUAACCAUCAACAAACAAGGCAAGGGUUAUCAUUUUAUCAGAUCCCGACGGAGAAGAUGGAUAGCGGCCAUAAACAGGAAAGAUUGGCAGCCCUCGGCAUACCAGUGCUUGUGUAGUGACCACUUUGUUGGAGGCUCCUUUUACUGGAAGCAAAACUCUAGGAAGAUCAUGGCUGUUCCCGAGUCUGACUUUCAAGCUGUCCAGCAAAAGAAGCGGAGAAUCUCACGCAGAGAUGAUGAUGGACUGUCGCUGAGGCUCAUGGGAAGGCUAAUGUAGCGUGGGGAAUAGAGAAAAUCAAUAAUCGUAAAUUAGAGUUAUUAUUUCGUUUGGGUUUCCCUGUUUAUUAUUUGUUCUGUUUUGAGUUGAAAAAAGGAAAACAAA